rnacentral:rRNA from 1 species
UGGGGGAUAUUGCACAAUGGGCGAAAGCCUGAUGCAGCAACGCCGCGUGAGGGAAGACGGUUUUCGGAUUGUAAACCUCUGUUCUAAGUGACGAAAGAAAUGACGGUAGCUUAGGAGAAAGCCCCGGCUAACUACGUGCCAGCAGCCGCGGUAAUACGUAGGGGGCAAGCGUUGUCCGGAAUUACUGGGUGUAAAGGGAGCGCAGGCGGAGAAGCAAGUCAGUGGUGAAACGAUGGGCUUAACUCAUCGACUGCCAUUGAAACUGUUUCCCUUGAGUGAAGUAGAGGCAGGCGGAAUUCCGAGUGUAGCGGUGAAAUGCGUAGAUAUUCGGAGGAACACCAGUGGCGAAGGCGGCCUGCUGGGCUUUAACUGACGCUGAGGCUCGAAAGUGUGGGGAGCAAACAGGAUUAGAUACCC